ensembl:lncRNA
GCAGACUAAAAGGCUUCAUGUUCAUUUACUUCUUUCCAUGAGCUCAUGCAAGGACUGAGAAUGGUCGGACGGCAUCGAAAAGAUAAAGACAGAAUUAUGUGUUAUUUAACAGUGGGGGCUCGUCGGGAUUUCUGCAGACAGGAGGAACAUCCUGAGUUCACACCAGGUGUGCCUCUAACCCAGGCAGGGGCAGAAGAGUCCCUUAGGGGGACCAGCGAGGAGAAUGAGCAAACUCAACUGGUGGCUUAAAAGCCCGCUGUUUGCUCCAACUGAUUAAGAUCCUGCCGGAAUCAAGGGAAGAUUGAGGAGCAACUCUUAGCAGGGAAAAGAGACUGAUUAAAUCAUCCUGAUCCUGACCUCAUUCUGAUACAGCAUGGAACGAAGAGAUUAUGAUGUGGUUUACAUUUAUCAGAAGAUUUAUUUUUUGUGUAUUUGAUUGACAUUACUGAUAAUGUUGUUGUUCUAGUAGUUGACUUGAGUUACUGCAUAGGUCUAUAGCACUGAUAUAGACUUUAAUAGAGUUAAUUUGUUAGAUUAACUUGAUUUUUACAUUAGAAUUAUUAAUAACACAAGCUAAAAUUAAAAGUGCAGCACAAAUGAGACUAGAUGAAAAAUUGGACCACCUCUAGAAGUCCACCUGACAUUAUAAACCUGAGAGCUAUAGUAAGUCAGCAACCCAGCAGACAUCCAGGUGACAUUAGGGGUUAGUUAUAUUGGCCCGAAUCUGACUGUCCUGGUUAAGGUCUCAUACAUUAAGCAUAUCCAGUUGGGGAUAAAGAGGUAUUUUUAGAAACCAAAGAUGUGAACAAUGUAAUGAAAAGCAUUUAAAUGUUUGCAGUCUAAUAUAUUAUGUUUUGAUAGAGAAUUAUGUGUAGGAAACCAGAAUUUGUAAGAAUAAUACUAAAAGUAUUAGGCCAUGGCUGCUUAACUGGUAAUAUGCCUGGCUGUACAGAAAGCUUGCUCACCUGUACAUGUUCCCUUGUAAAUAUGGGUGAGGAAAAUUGGCUAGAUAAUGCAGAUACACCACACAUUUGCUAAGAACAUGUAGUAGUGACUAGCCAACCAUAUUAUUAAGAUUGAGGCCAAGGAAAAGCUACAAGGCUUACAGUUACCUGCACUGCAAAAUGAACAGAUUAUGUUUAAAGGACAAAAUGUGUUAUAGUGGGAAUAUUAUGUUACACAGAUAACCCUCAUAAUGAGGCGGAUGGUAAAUGUUUGAUCAAGGUUGAUUGAUGCUGAUUGAUAAAGGUUUACUGAAUAUGUCUAGGAAUGCUUAGGAAUUAUAAGGCAAGGGAAGUAGCGAACACUCAGAAUGAUUUUUGCCUUGGUUCGCAAGUUGGUAAAGGAUGCUCGUGAGUGUGUUGAUGAAUAGAACUGUUGAAUGUGCUGAUCUUAAGUGGAAUGAGAAAAAUGCUGAGCUAAUGUUAAGAGAAGGGGAAUUGGGCAGAGAGCCUAUGUUGUUUAUUAUAUAAACAAAUGGGGGAACUGUUAGAUUAUAUUAUGCUCUCUGCCAGAUGUUUUUGUGCCUCUCUGCAAUCCCUCCUCCCUUCUUACUCCUUUUCUUCUGUCUUGCUCCC